rnacentral:rRNA from 1 species
CGUGGUAUCCUGUCUGAAUAUGGGGGGACCAUCCUCCAAGGCUAAAUACUCCUGACUGACCGAUAGUGAACCAGUACCGUGAGGGAAAGGCGAAAAGAACCCCGGCGAGGGGAGUGAAAAAGAACCUGAAACCGUGUACGUACAAGCAGUGGGAGCACAGGUUUACCUGUGUGACUGCGUACCUUUUGUAUAAUGGGUCAGCGACUUAUAUUCUGUAGCAAGGUUAACCGUAUAGGGGAGCCGGAGGGAAACCGAGUCUUAAUUGGGCGUUAAGUUGCAGGGUAUAGACCCGAAACCCGGUGAUCUAGCCAUGGGCAGGUUGAAGGUUGGGUAACACUAACUGGAGGACCGAACCGACUAAUGUUGAAAAAUUAGCGGAUGACCUGUGGCUGGGGGUGAAAGGCCAAUCAAACCGGGAGAUAGCUGGUUCUCCCCGAAAGCUAUUUAGGUAGCGCCUCGUGAAUUCAUCUCCGGGGGUAGAGCACUGUUUCGGCUAGGGGGCCAUCCCGGCUUACCAACCCGAUGCAAACUGCGAAUACCGGAGAAUGUUAUCACGGGAGACACACGGCGGGUGCUAACGUCCGUCGUGAAGAGGGAAACAACCCAGACCGCCAGCUAAGGUCCCAAAGUCAUGGUUAAGUGGGAAACGAUGUGGGAAGGCCCAGACAGCCAGGAUGUUGGCUUAGAAGCAGCCAUCAUUUAAAGAAAGCGUAAUAGCUCACUGGUCGAGUCGGCCUGCGCGGAAGAUGUAACGGGGCUAAACCAUG